GCUAGGGUGGCAUAGUGGUUUGAGUGUUGGACUAUGACUCUGGAGACCAGGGUUCGAUUCCCACUCAGCC
rnacentral:tRNA from 1 species